rnacentral:lncRNA from 1 species
AUGCUACCCACAUGCUCCCUCCUUUUAUUAUCUUUUUUUCUUCUGCUAAUACAUUUGUUAUUAUUAUUUUUAAAAAAUAGCUCAGCAAACACAAACGUCUCAUUGGUUUUCCCACAAACUUAUUUCUGAAGUUUCAUUCAGUCCAUCCAUUCCCAAACAAUCUCUCUCCCACUCUCUCUAGCUCUCUCACUCUCUCUCAGGUUCAAAGGACAUGGCAAGUGAGGCACCAAGCUGGGCUGAUCAAUGGGGUGCUGGUGGGAUCGGUGCUAUAGAAGACGAAAAGGCGGACGUUAAGAAAGAAGAUGAUGGCAAAAAGAAGGGCUCAACCGCGUUUGGUAAAGCAAGUUCUGUAGCAAAAGAGGGGGCCAAGAAACUCAAGAAUAGCACAUCGAGUGGGAUCAAAUGGAUUAAAAAUAAAUGCCAAAAGAAGAGUUCUAAUGCAGAUUCUGAUUGAUAGAACCCUUUUGGCGUUUGAUUUGUAACAAGAUUGUGUAAUCAAGAUUUAAAAUUGUAUCAUUCAUUCAUUUCAUGUUUCCUUUGGUUAAUGAAAGUUAUGUUGUAUACAUGUUUAAUUAUGAUAUUGUGUAUCAAGACAGAAUAUGUUCGUUUGCUAAAUGCUAACGCUCAUCAGUGAUGCUAUAUGAACAGAUAAUGAUAGACAAGAACUCAAGAAAGUAUGUCAUAUUAUUUCACUAAAAUGUUAGAACACUUAUGAGAAUGUUUCAAAGUUCUUUUUUCACAAACGAU